GCAGACACAUUCCAGCCAAUCAGCAGCAGACCCUCCCUCCCAGACCCUCCCACCUGCUGGACAGCAUCCAUUUUACAUUCAUUGUGAAGCUGCAUUCUUAGUGAGCUGUCCAGGAGGUGGGAGGGUCUGGGAGAGUGGGUCUGCUGCUGAUUGGCUGGAAUGUGUCUG
rnacentral:miRNA from 1 species